UAGGGAAUCUUCCACAAUGGGCGAAAGCCUGAUGGAGCAACGCCGCGUGUGUGAUGAAGGGUUUCGGCUCGUAAACACUGUUGUAAGAGAAGAAUGACAUUGAGAGUAACUGUUCAAUGUGUGACGGUAUCUUACCAGAAAGGAACGGCUAAAUACGUGCCACCAG
rnacentral:rRNA from 1 species